rnacentral:tRNA from 1 species
UCAAGGAAUAGUUUAAGUAGAAUUUCAGCUUUGGGUGUUGAUGGUGGAGCUAGA